GGGCUCAUCGUUCAACGGUAGGACAGUUCGUUUGCAACGAAUAGAUUCGGGUUCGAUUCCCGAUGAGUCCA
rnacentral:tRNA from 1 species